CUUAAAUCUUUAAAUACAACAUCUAUUUUGCCAGUAGUAAAAGGUGGUUGAAACGUCAAAUGCCACUCUGAAAAAUAGAUCAACAAAGAAGCUCCCAGUGAUGACAUUCUGCUUUCUGCUUCUUAUAAUACUUUAAUUCAUCUUUUUGAGGAGCAACUAAGCCCGUGCAUGACAACUACUGAGCCCACGCAUCACAACUACUGAAGCCCGCAUGCCUAGAGCCUGUGCUCUGCAGUAAGAGAAGCCACUGCAGUGAGAAGCCAGUGCGCUGCAACUAGAGAAAGCCCACGUGCAGCAAUGAAGACCCUUGAUAUAUAAAAAUCUAUUGCAUGUUUAUACACUAGCAAUGAACAAUCCAAUCUCAUUUACAGUAGCAACAAAAUAGAUAAGUAGAAAUAAAUUUAGCAAAACAAGCACCCAACUUGUACAGUGAAAAAUACAAAAUGUUCAAAGGUAUUAAAGAAGAUCUAAAAAAAUUGGAUGAUAUCUCAUAUUUAUGGGCCCAAACAUUUUAAAAUGACAAUACUCCCCAAAUUGAUCUAUAUAUUCAACAUAAUUCCUAUCGGUAUUCCAGCUUUUUUAAUCAUAAAUUGACAAUCUGAUCUUAAAAUCGAUAUGGAAAUAAGAUCCAAGACAAUCUUGAAAAAGAGGAAGAAGUUGGAAGGCUCACACUGCCCUAUUUUAAAAUUUACCACCAAGUUAGAGUAAUCAAGACAACAUGGUACUGACAUAAGGAUAGUGAUAUGGAUAGUGAUAUAGAUAAAUAGAACAGAAGUGAGAGCCCAGAAAUAAACUUUCACAUUUAUCAAUGAUUUUUCAGUCAGUGUGCCUAGACAAUUCAGUGAGGAAGGACUAAUCUUUUCAACAAACAGUGCUGUAACAACUGGAUAGCCACCUGUGAAAGAACUCAUUUGAACCUCUACCUCACACCAUAUACAGAAUUUGACUCAAAAUGAAUCACAUGUCUUCAUGGAAAAACUCAAACUAUAAAACUCCUAAAAGAAAAUAUGAAUACAUUUUCAUUACUUUAUAUUAUGCCAUGAUUGUUUAGCUGUGACACCAAAAGUACAAGCAAUAAAAGAAAAAAUACUAAAAUUGAAGUUCAUCAAAAUUUAAAACUUUUGUGCUCAAAGACUACCACCAAGAAGGUAAAAAGACAAUACACAGAAUGGGAUAAAAUAUUUUCAAAUCAUAUUUGAUAAGCAACAUAUCUAGAAUAUGUAAAAAAAUUUAUAAUUCAGCAAAAAGACAAAUAAUCCAAUUAAAAAAUUAUCAAGGGGUAUGAAUAGACAUUUCUCCAAAGAACAUAAACAAAUGGUCAGUAAAUACAUGAAAUGAUGCUCAAUAUUUUUAGUCAUUAGGGAAGUGCAAAUCAAAACUACACUGAGAUGUCAAUUGACACCCACUAGGAUGUUUAAAAUCAAAGACAGUAACAAGUGUUGGUGAAGAUGUUCAGAAUUUGGAUUCUUCAUCUAUUGAUGGUGGGAAUGUAAAAUGGUGCAGCCACUUUGUGAAAUAUUUUGGCAAUUCCUCAAUGUGUUAAGCAUGCAGUUACCCUAUAACCCAGCAAUUCCAUUCCUAGGUAUAUACCCAAGAGAAAUGAAAACAUAUGUUCCCUUGUACAUGAAUUUUCAUAGCAUUAUUCAUAAUAACCAAAACUGAAAAUAUCCUAAAUGUCCAUCACCUUGAUAAAUGAAUAAACAAAAUAUCUGUACAGUAUUCAGUAUAGGCAAAUCCAUAAAGACAAAGUGGGGCUGGUGCAAGUUCAGAAAGUGGCUGAGGAGGGAGUGGAGUGGGAAUAUGGAAUGACAGCUAAUAGGUACAGUGGUUUCCUAAUAGGUACAGUGGUUUCUUCUUGGGGGGAUGAAAAUGUUCUAAAAAUACAUUCAUUUGUGAAUAUAUCCCUCUUGUCUUCAGGCGUACGGACGGCAAAAGUUAGUUCAAGGGUACUGCACUAUGCUUUGUCAUUACCUUAUUAAAGCACCUCCAUAAAUAGACCUUUUGUAAAUAAAUACUCCUUAA